rnacentral:rRNA from 1 species
AAACGACUCUCGGCAACGGAUAUCUCGGCUCUUGCAUCGAUGAAGAACGUAGCGAAAUGCGAUACGUGGUGUGAAUUGCAGAAUCCCGUGAACCAUCGAGUCUUUGAACGCAAGUUGCGCCCAAGGCCUUUUGGUUGAGGGCACGUCUGCCUGGGUGUCACACAAUGUUUGCCCAAACCCAAAUUAUCGUGGGACAAGGGCGGAUGUUGGUCUCCCGUGUGCCAUUUGCUCGCGGUUGGCCCAAACACAAGCCUCUCUGAUGUUGUACACGGCAAUCGGUGGUUUAAAGACCCUCGGACGACGUCGUGCGCUCUCGUCACAUUGGCACUGAUAACCCCAAAGCAAUCGUUGCACGCUCAUAAAGCGACCCCAGGUCAGGCGAGACUACCCGCUGAGUUUAAGCAUAUCAAUAAGCGGAGGAAAAGAAACUUACCAGGAUUCCCCUAGUAACGGCGAGCGAACCGGGAAAAGCCC